UUUUAUUUGAGAGUUUGAUCCUGGCUCAGGAUGAACGCUGGCGGCGUGCCUAACACAUGCAAGUUGAGCGAUUUACUUCGGUAAAGAGCGGCGGACGGG
rnacentral:rRNA from 1 species